AUUGAACGCUGGCGGCAGGCUUAACACAUGCAAGUCGAGCGGGGGAGGUUGCUUCGGUAACUGACCUAGCGGCGGACGGGUGAGUAAUGCUUAGGAAUCUGCCAUUUAGUGGGGGACAACAUUCCGAAAGGAAUGCUAAUACCGCAUACGUCCUACGGGAGAAAGCAGGGGAUCUUCGGACCUUGCGCUAAAUGAUGAGCCUAAGUCGGAUUAGCUAGUUGGUGGGGUAACGGCCUACCAAGGCGACGAUCUGUAGCGGGUCUGAGAGGAUGAUCCGCAACACUGGGACCGAGACACGGCCCAGACUCCGACGGGGGGCAGCAGUGGGGAAUAUUGGACAAUGGGCGGAAGCCUGAUCCAGCCAUGCCGCGUGUGUGAAGAAGGCCUUAUGGUUGUAAAGCACUUUAAGCGAGGAGGAGGCUACCUAGAUUAAUACUCUAGGAUAGUGGACGUUACUCGCAGAAUAAGCACCGGCUAACUCUGUGCCAGCAGCCGCAGUAAGAC
rnacentral:rRNA from 1 species